UGAUACCUGCGUGGAAGACAUCCCUGAUGAUGCUACAGAGGAUGUAGCUUGGCGGUUGAUUACAUCGGCGGUUUGGAAUAAGCUUCAUAAACCCAAGAUGUGGCACCAAUAUAUUAUGAGGAAGAUGGAGAUUGCUAAACACAUUGGCUUGGGUCCACAAAAUUGACAUGUCUCGGAACCCAAGACACUGACAGAUGUAGACAACUGUUCCUUGUGAAAUCUUGUCCGUUGCUCGCUCACUUGCAAAUUAAUGAUGUAUCCGUUGUAUUGCAUAUAUUGAUGUUAG